CUAGCUAUUGCGUUCUUCGUGGGACCAGCCUAACUAAAGGCCACUGGGCUGGAAUAGCCAACGCCUUCCAACUGCCACUAAGGGAGGUUUUCCGUUCCGUGUUUGGGAUUGGCUGGGACUUCUGGUGCCUCCUGCCAAGGGUGGAGCCAAUGGUUGGGCAGCCCAGAAGGCUCCAAGCAUGCGCACUUGAGCUCGAGCUCUUGCGUCGUCUGUUCAUCAGUGCAGUUAGUUGGUCUUCAAGCUCAGUGCAAGUUGGUGGUAGUGUCCCUGUACUCCAUGUGGCCUGCUGCAUGCUCGUGCAGGGUUUUAAGAUCGGGUCCUGAGCUUAAAUACAUUUCCCCGGGGUGUGAGGCUAGUCCCUUCCUUAUAGCUUCAUAGUCUUUGAUGGAGCUGUGCCAUCUGAGAAGCCUGCCUCUGGAUUGGGGUUUUGGGGAAGGGGGGUGGGUGCCAAGUCUCACCAUGGUGUCAUUCCUGGGUCCUAUUGUGGGGGCCCUCUUACCAGCCUGCCCUCUCGUAGUUCAGAAAGCCCUGCCGGGGCAUCUGUUUGUCCUCUUGCCACUUUGUUUCUGGGUCCUCCUUCAUCUUUCCUAUGUUCUAUCAUGUUCUGUCGCCAGCACUCUCCAAGUCUCAUUUACUACAGAUCUUUUGACACCGGUCAUUCUUUUAAGCCCAAAGACCGUUUGUGAAGUGGACAGAGCUAUAACUGCUGCUGUUUGUAGAGUUUUGUGUCACACUAUUUCCUUUUUUAACGUUUACAUUGUUGGUGAAUUUUACAUUGCGCACCCGGUCAUGCUCACUUCCCAGUCCUCCCAGGUGUGCCUCCCCACCUUGUGACCACCCCCUAAAAAAGAAAAACAACUCCAAUUUGUGUUGCCCAUCCUUACUGAAGCACAGGCAAACUCCCAGUGACCAGCUCCUUAAGACUGAAUCCCUCCCCACCCCCACCCCCACCCCUGUCAGAAUGUAUACAUUUAAUACGCACAUCUUUCUAAGUGGGUUUUUACCUGGACACUUUCACGGCCUACCAUCUUAGUAAACAUUCUCUUUGUGGCUUACCUUACAAUAAUAGCACAGUUGGUUUCUUCAGUCACCAAACUCCUGACAUCAUUUCUCACCUGUUACUCUUAACUAGUCCAGAGAGGAAUUGAUCGUCAGACAGCGCAAAUUGGAUAAAGAAUGUUUUUCAUUUUCCUUUUUAUAAUUUCUAUUCCCACCGUGGAAGUGCGUUAAAGAUGGCUUCCACCGCAAGUGAGAAACUGUGGGAUCCGGCAAGACGAUAACUCUUUGAUGAUCUCAAAGAACUCUCUCUCUCUCUGCCUUCCAACAUCUCCUACAUUGUGAUUUCAGCAAAAAAGAAAAAAGAGGAAAAGAAAAAAAGAAAAGUAGGCUAGCCAAGAUGGCCAAGCGUGACAAUGGUGUGGAGAGGCCUAGCAGUGCUUCUGACCAUGGUUUGGGAGGCAGAGAAACCUGAAGGAUUCCUUAGAAGUCUCCAGCAGAGGGUUCAGCCAGUCCAUCUUGCUCACUUGUGCUUGUAAACAAAACAGUAUGAAAUGAGUUGGGAGCAGAUAGGCUUUGUCACUGAGGGCUCAUCUACAGUCUAUCCCCUGACUAUGUCUGGUCUUUAGGCUGCUUCCUCCAUUUUAUUUGUAAAUAUGAGGCCUAGAGUCCCAGCUCACUAAAGUGUGCGAAAUGUUUGGAAAUGUCUGGAGACUUUGAAAUCAGAAGGGAUCAGCUUUUCUAUUAUCCCCACCUGUUAAGUGUGUAUGCAACCUUGGGUAAAUUCUGGAAAGGCAGAGAGCCUCCUAUAGGUUUGCACCCACAAUGUAACAAGAACCCUGUGAGGAUUACCCUCACAGCAGGAAGGAGAGCAAGUCCUCAUUCCUGCCUCCCCUCUCUAAGAGUAACUGUAGCUUCUGAACCCCAGGGCUGAGCUGAAUGCCCCUACACCUUCCAGUCCUAGGACUCCAGGGCACUUAACAAAUCUCAUCUCUUCCACAGCAAUAAGGCCCUACUUGGGAAGACUGUUUUGUCAGGGACCUUUGGCCAAAGUUCUUCCUCCCCAACAGGAUCACAUACCUCCAAGACCACUUCUAAAUACCCUGCCCUCUUUUCUUUCCCUGGUUGUAACCCCAAUGGGUACCUUUCUACUGUGGCCCUCCCCUCACUCUCACAAACACAGACCCUAACAGACUUUGGCAGUACAGAGCUCAUUACCUGCUGCAAAGGUGAUUCCCUUUCCUGGGAGUCUUACAGUCAAAUGUCACCCCACUUCAUCUUUGGGGCUUACUUCUCCCUAGCACUUUUGGGGACAGGGACAGCUUCUUUACCCUCUCCAAGUCCAAUCUGUUCCCUCGUGUCCUCUAAAAGGUCUGUUGACAGGUGUGUUAAGUCUGAGAGGGGCACCUCCGGGUGUGCGGAGAAGCCGAGUACUUGCAUUCCCUGUGACAAAUGUGACGAUUGAUGGGUGAAAAGAAGUGAUAACUAGUGGGACCGGAGACUAUUUCAGGUUUUUUUUCCUGGUAAAACAUGUAUUCAAUCGUUUCUAUUGCAAGUGUCAGGAACUGGAGAGCAUUAUGGUGAUAGAAAAAUACAUGACUUGUAAAGGAACGAGAACACACUGAGGAGAAGGAAAGUCAAACUUUAAGGGUAUAGUUAUCAAAUAAAUGGUAAACAGAAGGCGGGAUGAAAGACGUAGAAAACCAUGUAUUGAUUUCCUGACAUUGCAAACAGCUGGGUUUUCCUUUCAAAAGAACUUGGGAAUAGGUCAACUUUGAGAAGAGCUAUAGUUUAAAUAAAAAUGCUUCUGAAACAAAAUAAAUGAACAAGAGCAAAUAUGCUUGUAUGCACAUAUACAAGAAGAUGGGGAUCUUAGGGUAGGAUGAAGAUACUAUAUCCACAACUUACAUACACAAGACAGCAUAUCGGCUACCUGUAUUACCCAAAACUGUUUUUACAUUCAAAGAGCUUUGGAAGGAACAGGGAAGAAGCAAAAGAUAGAGAUACGCAUAGUCAGCAACAUAUACACGGGAUAAUUUGCAAGCUGAGAAGUUAUGGGGUUGAGAGGGGAAGCAGUUCACAUAAGAUUGGCUUUAUCCAGGUCUCUUGCCUUAAUUGGAGCCACCAGAAUGGUCCUUGGAAGAGUCCCUACCCAACUUCAUAAAGCCUGGAAGUCCCAGGGAAAACAAUGUCUAAGGAUUUAUAUCUAAUGAAGCCCACAGAUCCUCCAAGUGAAGGAGAGAAGGGUCCAUAUUCCAAAGAAUGAUGAAGGGUGGGAGCCAUCAGUAGGGAAACAAGUCUUGAGGAUGAGUUCCGUUGACAGGAAGGACGUGUGGAAGAGACAAUAGGCAACACAAUACACACGGAGGUUUUUCUUACUCUAGGACUAUGGGGUGGAGUCAUGUAAGGAAGCUGUGUAGGGCUCAAUGAGCAGAAAUCAGAAAGUGGCUUUUGUGUGUGUGGGGGUGGUUGUGGUCAAGUUUUCCUAUCACUGGGAAUGGUGUUUGUGGAGGACAGGGCACAGCACUUUUCAGGGAAACCCAGAUUUCUUAUAGAGGUGGUAUGAUAUUUAGUGACUAAAGCUUGAGGCAGAUGUAAAAGCGUUUAACCCAUUCUACAAACAUAAUACAUUCUGAUAAAGUGAACAUUUUAUCUCUUGGAAACUAGAAAGGAAGGGAGUGGGGGAAGACCAGGGAAUGAAGCUUAAUGGCAACCUAAAACAUUGGGCUUGAUAUCCAGCAUUGGAGGGUGCAGGGGAGAAGCAAAAAUAUAGACACAUAUAUUCAACAAUAUAUACAGGAAAGUUGGUAAGUUGAGAGAGGAAAAGGUGUCCCAAAGGUUAGCAUUCAGUAGAGGAGAGGAGAGGAGAGAAUAUAAGCACAGUGCCAGGCAUGGGAAUGAAGGGUGCAGUAUUGGGAUAGGGAAAGCAGCAAAGCCAUCAAAUGGGCUGGGGCUUCUAGAGACUGUGCACCUCCUGGACAAAGGGAUAAAAAAGCCACAGUCUAGAAUGUGAUGAGGAAUGAGAGGCAGAAAGUAGAGAGUGUCACAUGUCACAACAGGCCACCAACAUGCCAGGUCUAGGAAACUUCUGACUUAACUGACCCGUGUAUCCUCUUCCAACUUGGGGGUUGGCUUUCUGGCCACAGCAGUCCUUCCUUCCCUUUCUUUAUUGGAAAUUGAAGUAGGCUCUAGGCCAUGUUCCAAAGGAUCUGACUGGAGAGGCAGCUUUAGAAAAGUAACUGAAAACGUUUUGCUCAGGAGCAGCUGGGUGGCACUGGGUGAGAGAGUCUUAAAACAAACAAAAUGUCUGUGUCCCAUUUUCCUCAACUGUAAAAUGAAUUAGCAAUGCCAAGAGAGGCCCUAGAGAUGUUGGACAGGUAAAAGGAGGAGCUCCGUAGAUGAAGACUGCAAGGUGUUAGCUGAUUCCUGGUUAUCAAUGUUGAUGACAUCAUUUCUUAAUCCAGUCUCUCAGCCACAAUCCCGGGACCCAUUGUGAUGUCAUAUACUUUCAAAGACCCCAUGACAGCUUCUCUUACUCCCUGGAGAGAAGAUGACUUGGAACAAAGGGUCUAAAGACAAGUGUGAGCCAUCUGGGAGGUGUCUGUGCCGGAAGCCUCCUGCUCCGUGAAAGCUCGCCAGCUCUGCUGUACUCUUGCAUCACUGAGUUAUACUGCACCAGAGUUGUUGGUGUCACCUGUAGGACUAACUUGGACCUUCUUUCCAAGGCUGUUCUAAAGGCCAGCUAUGCAAUAGGGAAGUCUAUUUGGGGUGUUUUCAUGACCCAUUAGCUGCCCCCGUCCCCUCUUGCUUGUGGGUGGUCACUAAAACCUGGGCCCUCUUCUUUCCAAAUGUUAAAAUCUUGCUUUUUCCUCCUGCUUCUUCUGUGGGGUUCGCAUGGCUCAUAUCAAAGGUAUGAAAAAGUCUGAGCUUGAAGUUGUCCUCGGAUUCCCACUACGUAUUCCCACGUUAGUAGGGAAUCCCUUCACCCUCCCCUUGAAGAGAGCCCUGAAUGACUAGAGUUUCGUUUGUGUGGCAGAGGGUUCCUGCUUGCUGGGGAAGACUUUUGAAGGUGAGAGGGACUGCAAGACCACUACUGGCAUUUGUAAUGAGACACAAUACAGUUUGUCAGCUGUGGCUUGUGCUGUUUCUUCCAAAGAAGACAUUGGAAAGUCUCCUUUUGAGGUCAAGGAGAAGGCUCUGGGUAGACUGAUUUUUCUCACUCAGUGCCUCUGUGUUGACUCUUGUUCUUGGAAAAGCCUCUACCUUUCCCUCAGAAUAUGUCCAAAGAAUUGGUAGAGGAUCUGGGGUUGGGGGGUGUGUCCUUGGUGAUACAGAUUGAAUCUACUACGGGAACUCCAGGGGAGGCUUUAGGGGAGUCUACAGUGAGAAAUGAGAGGAUGAGAUAUGCAUGCUUAAAGCCAUGUCAUGCAAGAGAGGUCUAGUGAGGACGACACAGGACAGGCGGCCACCGGUGGUAGCUACAAGAGUGGGGGCCUGGGAGCCCUUCAGGGUUGGUGGCAAGUGUCUUGAGUCAUGUAGCACAAAUGCCCACAGGAUAGUAGAUUCUUUUAAAUGUUGGAUGAAUGAAUGAAUGUAUGAAUGAAUGAAUGAAUGGGUGUGUCUAAUGAAAGCAUUUCAAGACCUGCCCAAUCUAGUACCCUUCAUUUAAUGAAGUGCUCCUCCCCGGAGCCCUGCAAAAGGCACUUCGAUGAACUGUUCACACCCACCCAGCUUCCACCCUCGACCUGAAAUUUCUAGAGACCCCAGAGUAAUCCAGGACUUGAGGCUUCCUGACUCGGCAGCUUUGGAAACCUUGAGAAGAUUUGGAGGUCCAUAGGCAUACCAGACACUCCAGGCUUGUCUUGUCUCUUGGGCCCCAGCAUCUCCUCAAAUUCACUGAAAUUUACUGAAAUCAUUCAUUUUACUCGGGAUAGACGGUAGAAAGUUACCUGGGUUUUGUCAUGGUACCCUGCUUGUACCUCGAUGUCCCUUCAGAUGCUUCUGCUGUUCCAAAGGAUGGGAUGCAUGAGGUGGCAAAUCCGAUGACGGCCUUGCUCUGCCCAGAUCACAGGGACUAUUGCGAAUGCUACCGAGAGGAAGAGGAUCAGACUUGACUCCUGCACUGACUCCUGGCUUCACACACCCUGCUCCUCCCAUUCCUCUCACACUUAACAUUCACAGGAAUUUCUUUCCUGGCCAUACCCUCUUAUUGUCUUUGUUCCUGGUUGAAAUACUGGAGGUGAAGUUGUGAUCUCCCCAGGAAGUUUCCACUGUCUACCCUCAAGGAAAAAAAAUCUAGCAGUAUACAAGGUUUUCCUGAGUGGAAAAACAGCAAAUGUUAUGACCUUAAAACUUACAUGAGAUAAGACCUGCCUGGCGUUCUUCAACCUGAGUAGUAGAAACUCAUGGAAGAGCAGUGCAGUGAGGGUCUAGUACCCCAGGCUGAUAAAGCAGUGCUUCAUUAUGACGAAAAGUCAUUCUCAUCAACUUUGCAAAUCUACUCCCUAAUUGGUUUUUAUUCUCAUUUUUCUUCAGUGGUUAAUAUACUUUUAUCUAUGAUUUGUAAAAACAGAUGAACUUUUUUUUUUUUUAACCCUUGAACUUGAAGAAAGAAGUUCCAGAGAAUGUGAAUGAAGUCUCUGGAACCCAUCCUGGAAGGAUGGGAGGGCCAUUCUGGAUGGUGUGGCAGACAACAGUAGACUGAUUGCUGGUGGCUAGGCCUACUGGGUGCUAGAAACUGUCACUCCAGGAGGAAGGACCAGGAACAAGGUCAAUAUGGCUUUGUUUUUCUCCCUCUGGCUGUGUCUCAGUCACCAGGACAAAGAGGCUGGCUAAUAAUUUGUUCCAAUUUGUCCCUUUGAGUUUUCCAGUCUGUAAUCAUGAUGCCCACUCAGUGGGGGAGGCCUACAUUGGGGUCACCUACUCGUGAUGCCCACUCAGUGGGGGGGGGGAUGACUGCACCUCUGUGUGGAGAUUGCAGAAGGACAGAGACAGGAGGAGGCUGAUGUAAUGUCAAUAGUGACAGGGUCUGAGAAAGAUGCAGGUGGCAGGCUGAGGCGUGAAUGUUGACAGGCAUGAGGACAGCUCAGAUAGUGAGUGAUUCCUCACACAUCUGGGCCAAGCAGGGCCAAAGAAGGAAGUUAUAUCCCUACUCCUGACAUCAGAUGGGUCCUUUCCCUCAGCCAUCCUGGCAGAAACUUCUUGGAGAGAAGUUAGUUGAGGAAGAAAACAAUAUUGACAUCUGCAGGUAUGCCAAGGAUAAAUGUAGAAACACGUUCAGUCCCAACCAACCCCAGAGCAAACAGAGGAGUCUGGUCACCAGCAGAGGGAAAGGGAGGAAGGAAGCACAUUUAUAAGAGUGAUGAUGAAGUAACAGAAGCCAGAAAAGGUUGGGAAGUCAAGGCUGACACUGUCCAAAGCAGGCAGCAAGGGAGCUGCUGUCUACCAUGGCAUGGUCUCCACAGCCAGCAGUACGCUUGGGCAGCUCUGUUGGAGUCAGUGAGCUGCUCUGCAAAGACCCUCUGAGGGUGUUGAGAGAGGCAUAAGGAAUAAGUAGUUUGGUGUCUGAAUGAAUGGGAAAUGGAAAGGAAUAGGUCAUAUGGAUAGAACAUGUUUUUCCUCUUCCUUGGCCUGACUCUCCCCACCAUGGUGCUCUAAGAUAUAAAAAGAGAUAGAAUGAGAAGGGGACCUGGGUACUGUGCUGGACCUUCCCCAAGGCCACCAUAACUCACGAGUCACUAGCAGUAUUCUCAGGGCUCAGCAUGAAGUUGCAGUCACAACUGCGAUUUCUCUCAGAGGGUACAGAGCAAAAUCAACCAAAGGCCAACUUGGCUCAGGGGAGGCUCCACAGUGCAGGAAGGACCCCUGCACAGAGUUACAGUAAUAUCUGUUGAGAGAGCUUUCAAUAGGGAGUUCACUGUAGACCCUGGGCCCAGGGCUUCCACGGGAUACUAGUCACACAGAUAGACCAUAUCUCCUUGACAAUAAGGUCUAGACACAGGGAGAAAGCAAACCCAUUGUUGACACACCGAGUAGGUAGGUACUAGGGUGGUCUGAGCUUGCUUCCUAGCAUCCUAGAAGGGCCACAGUGCACAAACUGGUGAGCAAUCUCAGGCCUGUGGAAGAACUCUUUUCUGAGCUGGAUGCUCAGGAGAGUGCUGGCUACUCUGGUCCCCAAAACCUUCCUCUAGUCAAGCUACAGAGUUGCCCUGGCACUCGAGUCCUCUGCCCAUUCCCAGGUCUCAAAUGUUCAUGCUACUGAGUAGCUCUGCUGUAGGAAAAGCUCAGGAAUGUUCCCACUGAGACCUAUAUCUGGGGAAAAAUCAUGGUGUCAGUUUGGAAACUGACAACCACUCCUCCUUGCCCUACCCUAACCUUUGCCAUGAUCUGACUGGAGCAGGCCUUGGACUUGGCUGCCUUUGGGAGCACUCCCUCCCUCCAAAGCAAAUCCUGCACUGCUUAUCUCAUCUACUGCUGACAGUCUGACGGGAAGCCAGUCUGUGAAUAGGGGGCUUUCGAAGCCCUUCUCUCUCAAGCUUGUUGAGGUUUCAGAGCCAUUGCUCCUUCUGCAUCUCCAUUGUCAAUCAUCUGAGAGGAUGUUUCUGUUUCAGAAGCCCCUCUCUCAGGACUGACUCCCCAUGGUGAGUGAGCUCUGGAGGUGCAGGGGUUCAGCCUUCCAUCUCAGCUCCCCUAAUCCUCUUAGGUAGAACUAGGCUCACUGAAUUUCCCUGUCCCUCUUUUGGAGGCCUGAGCCUUUGUUCAUCUAUUGCCAAGGGAUUGGGCAAAGCCAGGUCUUCACUGUGCUUACUGACGCCUUCCCUGGGCCAGUCAGUAGUCCAGUGUCCUAGCACCAGCAAAGGGCUCCUGUGGUUCAGUUAAAGUGGGAAAGGGGCAUCCUGCUGUGAUGAUACUCAGCUACCCCUUAGUGUUACUAUGCUUCAGUGCAGAAUUAGGAUUGCCCCUGGCUUGUCCUCUCAGGAGGAUACGAUUCUCAGGAUAUGAUAAUUGGACCUGUUGAUAAAUUCGCUGACUGCCAAGGCUAAAGACCCACACUGGAUCUCUGAGUCUGACAUAUUGGAACCAGAGAUCUGUGUCCCAGGGUUUUUUCUCUUGAAUUCUGUGGGUGCUUAUAGGAUUAGCACUGAGGAAAAUAUCUGAGGUCUUUCCAAAUUGCUGUCUCAAGAAAUCUAGAAAUUUUGAGAAAUGAUCAUAAACUCUUCUUCCAAAAUGUCUUGUGACACUAGUCUAAUCCAAUAGCGUGUUUCUCUCACUGGAUGAACAUGAAGCUCAAGGAAGAGAAGUCUUGAAAGAAUAAUGUGCUUGUGAAGUUGGUUGAUGUUCAGUAAGGAUGUUACAAGUAAUUAGUCUUUUUCACAAAUGUUUUUGGGGUCACCCAGCUGGACAGUCAGAUGGGAGAAAAAGGUACUGGACUAUUAAAGUACAUUACAUACAAAACUCAGGGUGCAUCACUGCUGUGUAUAUAAGGGUUAAAACCCUCCUGGAAAUCUUUAUAAGCUUGGAGUUGGCUGUAGUUUUUUAGAUAUGACAUCAAAGCCCAAAUGAUGAGAACAAUAUAGUAACAUCAAACUUUAAUUUGUACUCCUCUGGACAUCCUGAAGAGACAAUGUCUAGAGCUGAAAUCUAUUUUCUCAUGUCUGAUGAUCCUGUUUCCAAGAAGGCCUAAAAAAAAAUCCUUCUACAAUUCAACAGGAGAAACCUCACACUUCUCAAAUAAGACAUGCUAGCUAUCUAGGACCAAAAACCAUGUGAAAAUGUGUCCCCAGUCUUUAGUUCUUGUGGAAAUGGCAAGUAGAAACGGCAGGGGGUUAUCCCGUCACACUGGUGAAAACAGCUAUAACAAAACCAGAUAAUGACGGUGCUUCUGGGGGUCUGUGUGUGAAAACUGUAUUCUGCAGGAUAAAUGCAAAAUGGCAGCAAAGGUGACAAAGGGCUAGCAAGUGCAUCAGAUUAGUUACGAAGCAUCACAGGGCUUGAGGAUUUGUGGACUUCUGUCAUUAGGCCCCUUACUCAAAGCUAAAAGUGGGCAUUGAGAAGAGAAUGCAUGUGCAAAUGAAUAGAGCUCCAGCAGUAUUGGUGUUAGUCAAAAGGCAGAAGCAGCUUUGCUGCUCAUUGGUGAAUGAACGGGCAAAGUCUGAGCUACCUGCAUCCUCACCGGCCAGAAUGGCGUGCAUGCUGACAAUGGUUACAAUUGGGUGGAAGUGGUACAGACGCCAGACAUGAAAGGCCAUAUUGCAUGGCUCAACUUUGUGAGAUGUGUAGCAUAAGAAAAUCCAUGGGCACUGGAAGGGGUUCAAUAGUUAGUAGAAGUGGGUUGAUUGGGGAGGGUCAAGAAGGGCGGACCAUUCAAGGUCUGUUGAGUUUUUUCCUUUAUAUUUCCCUUUGUAAUGGUGAAGACAACCUGAAACCUGAUGGAGGCUGAUGCUCAAAUUGAGGAUAUACCAAAUGUCACAAUGGUGGCUUCUAUGGAAGCUCCAUUGGGCAGGAGGCAGGAGACCGAUCCAAGAAAGGCUGCUGGAGAAAACAUUAAUCCUCUGCAACUUCCCCUGCCCCAACUCUGGGAGCAGAGGCCAAGGCUGGCAUUGCUGCAGGCUUGUGCCUGUCCCACACCAACCUAGGCAGUCAGUGACUGAGUCGGAAGAGCCUUGCCUGGGUUUUCAGAACUGCAUUACCUACACGGAGGCGCCUAUGGAAAUCCCUGGUGCCUUUGGUCUUUGAGCACCUUGCUCCCCAGCCUUAAGGGGGAAAGCAGAAAUGCAAUCAUACUGGCUUGUGUUAGUGAGGUCCUCUACCGUGAUUUUUUUAAAAAAUACUUUACAUAUUCAUACUAUUCUGUUUUUGAAAACUUUAAGGUAACUUUGGUAUUCUCACUGCCUAUUGUCACUUAAGACCCAAAAGUUUACAGGAAUAGAUGGGUGUGGAUACAUUCUAUGAGGAGAAAGUGUAGAACACGGCCGUUAAGGGAGGGGGUUUGGGAAUGCCAGGACAGCGAAGGGAGUGUGCGCCCACCAGGCUUUGCUGUGCAAGUUGCCAAGAGCUCACCCGCAGAACCGGAAGUGGAAGCAUCCAUUGCCCUGUGCUGCCGUCAUUCCUAUUCCGUCCGGACCAGAGAGAUGGAACCCCUUGGGAGUUAUUAUUUAUUAUUUAAUAAUAGAUGUUCAUAGAGUCUCAUGUGAAUGUCAAGACACCAGCAGGAAUUUAGAGUAGCAGAUAAAAAAAACGUUGCGUUCAUGUCCUCCCUGCACCCCACAUGGAAGCAAUACUGUGUUCUUCACUCAAUUGUAGAUGUCAACUUGUUUAGAUGUAUAACGCUUUUUAUAUGCUACCCCAUAAAAUGCUGAAUUGUUUGAUUGCUGCCCUGCUGCACUAGCCAGUCAUGGAGAGUGAUUAUGUCCCAUAAAAACUCUUGUUUAUCUGGAACAUUAUCUCUGUUUAAAAGAGCUUUGUGCCAUGUGAAUUGAAAACAGAACUUGAAAUUAUUUCAUACAAUGUUUAUUUUUUAAUUAAGAACAUAGAAUAUUCAUUAUUUUCAGCCUCUAAAAGCAGUUCACUUUUUUUUAUUGGAUAUUUAUUUACAUUUCUAAUGUUAUUCCCUUUCCUGGUUUCUUGUCCCUAUCCCCCUCCCCUUCUUCUAUAAGGGUGUUCCCCUCCCCAUCCACCCUCCCUUCCUCCUCCCCCCAACAAUCCCCUACACUGGGGGUCCAGCCCUGGCAGGACCAAGGGCUUCUCCUUCCAUUGGUGCCCAGCAAGGCCAUCCUCUGCUACAUUUGCAGUUGGAGCCAUGGGUCAGUCUAUGCACAGUCUUUGGGUAGUGGCUUAGUCCCUGGAAGCUCUGGUUGUUUGGCACUGUUGUUCGUAUGGGGUUACAAACUCCUCCAGUUCCUUUAAUUCUUUCUCUAAUUCCUCUAAGAGGGCCCCGUUCUCAGGUCAGUGGUUUGCUGCUAGCGGUCGCCUCUCUAUUUGACAUGCUCUGGCUGUGUCUCUCAGGAGAGAUCUAUAUCCGGUUCCUGUCAGCCUGCACCUCUUAGCUUCAUCAAUCUUAUCUAGUUUUGGUAGCUGUGUAUACAUGGGCCACAUGUGGGGCAGGCUCUGAAUGGCCGUUCCUUCAGUUUCUGCUCUAAACUUAAAGCAGUUCAUUUAAAUAAACAUAUCUAUUAUCUAUAAGGCAGGGACUAUAUAUAAAUGGGACUAGAGAUAUAAAGUAGGUAAAUGAGUCUGGCGUGGGGAAUGGGCGGAGUCAUCAAGUAUUUCUCAAGACCUGUGAGGAGAUGCGUCACCUCCAAACAGGAACUGGGGUAUCAGCCUUUACAUGUAAAGAUUUUUAAAGAGAGAGUAAAGAAUGCGGGCUGGAGAGAUGGCUCAGCGGUUAAGAGCACUGACUGCUCUUCCAGAGACCCUGAGUUCAAAUCCCAGCAACCACAUGGUGGCUCACAACCAUCUGUAAUGGGAUCUGAUGCCCUCUUCUGGUGUGUCUGAAGACAGCUACAGUGCACUCAUAUACAUAAAAUAAAUAAAUUAAAAAAUUAUAACAAAGAAUGCAUGUGAAGAAUAUAUAUGUUAUAUAUAUCUUUGUCAGGAAACACAUUUUUCAAAACCCAUUCAACAUUACAAAAAUUAAGCAUUUUCAUACCAUGAGGAGAAGCUCAACUCCAACUAGAAAACCAGUAAUUUUCAUAAGAAAAUGUACACAAAACAUGGAUAAAUACAAUUCAUUCCAACCGCAGUAAAAAGUGUGGGCUCCCUCAGCUCUUAAGAUGAAGAGCAUAUAUGGAAGAAAAUGCUUGGCUGGUGUGUGUGUCUUACAGCAUAGCUUGCCCACUCUGUCCAUGGACACCGCAUGCUUCCACCUCUUGGCUACUGUGAAUAGUCCUGGCAUGAACACAGGUGCUCAGAUAUCUUUUUAAGACAUUAUUUUUGGUUUUCUAAGAUAUAUGACCAGAAAUGAGAUUGGUGGUUUGCAUGGUAGCAUGAUUUUCACAUUUCUAGUAGACUAUAAUGUUCAUUAGUUUUUAUCACUAAAUAAUGUUGCCCAAAAACAGUUGUGUUUAUCAUUGGCUAUUGUUUAUGUUGAGAUUUCAUCACCAGUGUACUAGCAAUGAAAGAGGUGGUGUUAGGCAGCUAGACAGACAUUAGCAGGCUUGGAAGCCCUUGAGCAUGGGCCUCUCACUUUGAAACCCACCUUUCAUUUUACCAUAUGGAAAGGUGGGAGAUACGGGAGCUUUAUUGCAGCCCGGUGAGGGAAGGCUACCUCCUCUGGCUCAGAAGGGUAGAUCUGAGUUCUCUACCUCUUGCCCUAGGUGGAGCAUAACAAAGUGAAGUACCCUAAAGAUUAGAAUAAUGUCCUCCACUAAGAGCAGCCCCAAAUGGGCCUACCCAUCACCUCACCAGGAAACCACUCCUCAGGAAAGCUGAUUCACCUGACAUGCUAAGGAGACAGAGGGAAUAAUUAUCCCCUUAAUGAAAUCAUGCACUCAGACACCCUGGCUGCCCCUCCUUUGGGGCAAGUUGCUCGCAGAUCUUUUAGUGACCGCUAAGCCUGCCUGCUUUUCUAAGUUGUGGUUCAAAAAUGUAACUUUUCCUUUCUCCCCUUCUAUCUCUUCUUUGGAUACCAGCCAAAAUCCUAAAUGGGCUUGCCCUGACAUGCUGGGCUUUCUCCCUGUUUUCUCUGGAGACUCUCUUUCUGCAAUGUUUGCAGCCCCCUGUGGCUCAGCCUGACAGAAGGCCGGCCCUUUUCCCUUAUCUACCCCCUCCCCAAACUGCCAAGAUUUUUAGCUUGCCUGCCCUGUUGAUUUUCUCUCAAAUUCCAAUAAAAUGGUCCUCAAGCUUCCUUCUGAGUUGGUUUUAAGAUUAUUUUACCAGAGAAAUUAAGAACCCACAAAGGGAACUGUGAUUCCUUGGUGCCACUGGGACCUUUAAGAGGGACUGAUCUCUUGUCUUGUGAGACAUUUAAUCUCAAAAUUGGUCACAGAAAUAUAUUAGUUCUUCUGAGAGUAUAAUGUUACAAAAAAUGUCUGGCCUCUUCUGUCCCGCACUCUGCCACAUUCUUACCACAUGAUGCACCUCCCCUGUCUGGCAGGAGAGACCGCAGAUCCACCCGCAGAUCCAUCUUUGGUUGCAGUUUUGGACAGAAUGACAGCUUUGGAUCUAGUUUCAUCCUGUUUACAGGAGAACACCCAAGUUUAACAGCACUAUUUGCCAACAAAGCUUUUCCUGCCCCAAUGUGUAUUUUUUCACACUUUUGUCAAAGAGCAGGUGCUGUAUCUAUUCAAUUCUACUGGCGUAUGUGCCUGUUUCUGUUGUGCAAAUGACGUUUUUGCUAGUCGGAUACUAUGUGUAAGAGAUAAGAUAUAAUUAAUGGUCCAUCUUCAAGACAAACGUGCCUUGAAGUGCAGCUAUAGGUGAAGAAGAGAACACUAGAACCCUGACGGUGAUGGCUGGUCUAGAUAGCCUCUACCCAAAGGAAGCAUUUAGGGUGGACUAUUAUGAAGAGCCAAGCUUGCCUAUUGGCUUACAAACUGACAAAAUUUAUGUCUCGAGAAACUUUAAAAUACACAGAAUGUAAAGUGUGCAGAUGAACUCACUUGUAGUCUUUGCUGAGAAAAUGCAAACAUACGUGGCAAUUGGUGUGUAAGAUUUUUACUACCAUCCCAUUACUCAGCCAAUGAGGAAAAGGAGGAAGAGAACUGGACCUUCAGGGUUAUAAAAGCCAUCCUCGGACCUCACCCAGUGCAGAUAUACCCACGUCCCAUCCCUACCCCCACCCCCACUCCUUUUUUUUUAAAGGCCAGCAUUCAGUUCUGCAGAAACUAAAAUUACCUGAUUUUUUUCUAUGUGAAGUCUCCUAAAUACAUUAUUAUGAACUGUGGGUCCCCAUUCCUUACAGACCAGGUGCUCUGUAGGAUUUCUGCAUUUGGGGAGAGAACCCCUCAUUCUCUGGGAGAGCUGAAGAUACGUCCCUCCCAUCUUUGGGCAGCAGGGCUGCCUGACUUUGGUCUUUGCACAAGUCACCAGAAAAGACCCAUGGCAAUUCUGAGAGGAGCAAACCAAUGGUAGGGCACUCAGAUUUCCAGAAGGUGCAUCUCCUCAGGAAUCACCAACUUCAUUAAUGGGGGUCGUUCUUUUGGAUAAAGAGUGAAUGGAUUUAUAAACAUCCUGCUUGUCAACAAGGAAGUCAGAAGUUUCAAGAGGAACACAAAGCCCCCUUGGAAGAUCCCCUGGGCCUACAGAACUACUAGAUUGUCUUCUGAGUCCUAGUUUUAAUAUGUGAGCUCAGCUUGUGUCCAUUGACCAUUGUUUCUCAGGAAGUGAUUAGAAGAAUGGCUUUGGUUACCUGGGAAAGACAAUGACUCAUCCUCAAGUCAUAUAGUGAAGUUUCUCAAGCAUGCAUCUUGAAUGUGAUCAUAAUCUCCAAGACAGAGCUUAGACACAAGCCCUUCUCACAUGAGUUCUUCAGGGUAUUAGGAAAUCUAGCAAAGGAGGAUGAGGAAGAUGAGGAGGAGGUGGAG
rnacentral:lncRNA from 1 species